AGGUGACACGAGAUGCAGCGGGCUCUGACACCGAAAGGCCACCGGACCUGAUGAAUACCUUUGUUUGCUGGGAAGAUGCCAUGGGGUCUCCGUUCCCAUCGUUGGUUUAAAAACAUUAACAACAGCUUAGCAGGAUCUUGUAAACAGCUGCUGUCCUUUGAUGCAGCAACCCAGGAAGAAAGAGCCCAGCACUUUUGCCAGCAUGGUGUCACAGAUAUGUGAAGCUUGGUGCCGCCACGAGAUGUGCCAGCAUUUCUUCAGAGCCCCCUCCACAGCACCCGAGAAGUCUGAAGUCAUUCAGGUACCCCCUCCAUCUUCCUUCCCCCACAGGCCCUGCUUGUGGAGAAGAGUGGAAAGUACAAUGUACCAAGUUAAACAAAUAUUUAACUUGCUCCAUGUCCAAGGCAAAUUGGAUUUCAGGCCAACAUAUGGGCUCCAGCUCAGGGCUGGAGACAUGGCCUCAGGCUGGGUGUGGGAGUGAAUGAUGCAUGCGGUCAUUGCUGGGGGCUCCAGCUGGGCCAAACAGACUCUAGGUCACCCACCUUUCCCAGGACUGUGGAGAGGCUGAGCUCUACUUUCUUCCAGAACCCAUCAGAGGCUAGAGCUCUCUGAAGGAGGAACAGAAUCGUUGAUGUAGAUUCAGAAUUUAACUUUGUACUUCUCUGGCCGAGUUCCUUUAAGGACAGGCACCAUGAUUUCUUGCUUUGGGGAUCUCCGCAUUUCGCACUGUGGUUAGCACUUGAUACAGGUCUGCUGGAUGACUAAAAUCACUUUAGUUCCUGGUAGGGAAGGCCCCUUGGUUUUGGCCUUUGGGUCUUCAGGUGGCUACUGCCAAACUCCUUGGAAUGGAGUGGCCACUCCUUGGAGUGGAGCUUGUCCAAACUGAUAGAUGCCGUGAGCAUAAAACACACACUGCAUUUCCCCAGCUUAGAAUGAAAAAAAAAAAAA
rnacentral:lncRNA from 1 species